UCUGACCACUGCUAUGGAUAUGGUUAACAAAAGUGAAGAUAAGGGUGGUCCAACCGAAGAAGAGCUACUCAAAUUACUGGAUCAAUGUGAUUUGAGCACAUCUCGCUGUGCUACUCCUAACAUCAGUCCAGCAACUUCCGUAGUUCAGCAUAGCCACUUACGAGAAUCAAAUUCUAGAGCCUUCAGCUUCAGCACCAUGAUACCACCCAUGAAGCAGCUACUUACGGUUCCAUGAGGCCUUACAGAGAAAGUCCUUUAUUAGCAAGGGCAAGAAGGACUGAGAGCUUUCACAGUUAUAGGGACUUCCAGACCAUUAAUUUGAACAGAAAUGUAGAAAGAGCUGUCCCUGAAAAUGGUAACUUGGGUCCAAUACAAGCUGAAGUGAAAGGGGCAACAGGGGAAUGUAAUAUAUCUGAGAGAAAGUCUCCUGGAGUAGAAAUAAAAAGUUUGAGAGAAUUGGAUAGCGGAUUGGAAGUGCAUAAAAUAGCUGAAGGUUUUUCAGAAUCCAAGAAAAGGUCAUCAGAAGAUGAAAAUGAAAAUAAAAUAGAGUUUAGGAAGAAAGGAGGAUUUGAAGGGGGAGGAUUCCUUGGAAGAAAGAAAGUUCCCUAUCUGGCGUCAUCACCAAGUACUUCCGAUGGAGGAACUGACUCACCUGGUACUGCGUCCCCAUCUCCUACAAAGACUACUCCAUCUCCUCGGCAUAAAAAAAGUGAUUCUUCAGGUCAGGAGUACAGCUUGUGAAAACUCACCAAAAUGAAUAGUUGUUUCGUUACAUUUAGAUGAAAGUUAAACUUUAC
rnacentral:lncRNA from 1 species